AGAGUUUGAUCCUGGUUCAGAUUGAACGCUGGCGGCAUGCUUUACACAUGCAAGUCGAACGGCAGCACGGGCUUCGGCCUGGUGGCGAGUGGCGAACGGGUGAGUAAUGCGUCGGAACGCGCCGAGUAGUGGGGGAUAACGCAGCGAAAGCUGUGCUAAUACCGCAUACGUACUGAGGUAGAAAGUGGGGGACCUUCGGGCCUCACGCUAUUCGAGCGGCCGACGUCUGAUUAGCUAGUUGGUGGGGUAAAGGCUCACCAAGGCGACGAUCAGUAGCGGGUCUGAGAGGAUGAUCCGCCACACUGGGACUGAGACACGGCCCAGACUCCUACGGGAGGCAGCAGUGGGGAAUUUUGGACAAUGGGCGCAAGCCUGAUCCAGCCAUGCCGCGUGUCUGAAGAAGGCCUUCGGGUUGUAAAGGACUUUUGUCCGGGAGCAAAGCCUACUUGUU
rnacentral:rRNA from 1 species